AAUAUUCAUUUUUUAUCAUUCUCCAAUAUCCGCUCCCAAAUCACAUUUUUGGACACACAACUUUCAUACGAGAUAAUUAUCCAUACAUUAACACUAAAACUUAUAUCAUGAUCUAUUGUUCGAUAUCAAACAUCAUGAAAAUACACAAUUACAAUCACAAUCACAAUCAACAAACACAUAAUCAUAGCCAAUUUAACAAAUUAAGAUAAAGAAGAUGAAGAGCGAGGAUAAAGAGUUGGACAUCAAUUGUCGAUUUAUUUUCAAUUAAACAUAGGAGCUUUGUCGAUCCGGAACCUCGAGCUAGACCAAAUCGGAAUCCUCAAGCGAACAACUUCAAUAACGAAGGAAAACCAACUCAGUAGAAUCCUCUUGUUCCAUUUUUCAUCGACCCAAACUGAAAACUGUGGAACAAAGAUAAACCCGUACCAAAUUAGAACCCUCUGUUACUGUUUUGGUCGUUUUUCGAUAGACUUUCACCGGAAUCGGACUGAGAUUGGUCAAAAUUGGUCGAUUUGGACGAAUUAGAGUUGGGGUUCACGGUCUCCGCCUCGUCGGAACUCCAGUAAGCUCCAACAGAGACCGAAAACAGAGAAACCGAUAGCAGCUACAUUUCCGGCGAGAUGUCGCCGGAAAAAUCGUCUCUCUCGACCCUGCAAUGUUGCACAACUCGGGUGUUGGUGUAAUGUAGAUUGGACCCUAUACAAGUCUUCUUUAGCCUUAUCUGUAUCUACCACUACACUACUAAAGCGUUGUUUAUAGAGCUUCUUUAAUUUCUGCUUAAGUAACUUUAGCUUCCUCACAACCUGAUACAUUGUGUAGACAUUAAUUGGAGUAUUCCAAGUAUUAUGGACUAAUUGCAGGAAUUCUGGGUGUGUGUUCCACAUAUUACAAUACUUAAAGGAACUAUUCUUCAUCCUACUAGCCUUCAUCAUGUGUACCACAAGAGAUCAGUGAUCACUGAUACCCUCAGGAUGGAACUGAGCUAUGCACGCUGGCAUAUUAUCCAGCCAUUCCCCAUUCACUAGAGCCCAAUCUAUUUUGGAGAAAAUCCUAUUUACUUGGUUAUCAGACCAGGUGUACCUGCAGCCAUUACUCUUGAGUUUAGUUAAGCCACAUGUAUCAACACAUUGCUGGAAUUCACAUACCUCUGCAUAAGUCACAGGGCCUUUCACUGAAGAAGUCACUGAGAUUGGUGAUGAAGAAGGAUGACUCUACAUCCUAAGGAUAUUAAAGACUGCUAAUAUUGAAAGGAUAAAUGAAGUCAGCUCCAGGAAUGAAAGGACAUAAGGAAAGGAAGAACAUCCAUGUUAUCCAAGUAAAUUAACCACAAUAAGAAUAAAUCAAAGGAGAAUCUCAUCCCCAAAUAUCACAAAAAAUCUUGGAAGAUAGAAGAGUCUCUUAUCCGAAGAUAUGGAGGAUCACGACAUUCAAACAGUAUGGCAAGCAGAUCAAUCAAAUAUCAUGGAAAUAGAAGAAGGAUCACAAUCCCAGAAUCAUGGCAGACCAAAUCAAUCAAGAUAUAAAAUAAGAAUUUCUGGCCCAAAAGUCUUGACAAACCAGAUCAAGAAAAAGAAGAGAAGAUCACGAGCAUAUUUGGAAAGGCAUCAAUCUCUACAAAACUAAAAAGGAAAAUAUAUCAUGGACAUAUCUGAUAUGGACGUGAUUCAAAGUCGUAUAUGAAAAUAUCUAAUAUGGAUAUAUCAUAUGGCUACAUUCCUCAAUCAAGGAAUCAAUUUACAUCCAUGAUUGAGAAGAAAUCUCUUAGGUUUCCUUAUGAAGAGUAGCAGCCGAGACUAUACAAGAUGAAGACAGAAGACAAACACUUUUUAUGCAACUUCAAGCAGUAAAUUCAAAGUGUCUCAAUCUUAGUCUCACAAAGCUUUAAAACUCUU